UACAGAGGGUGCAAGCGUUAAUCGGAAUUACUGGGCGUAAAGCGUGCGUAGACGGUUACAUAAGUCGGGUGUGAAAGCCCCGGGCUCAACCUGGGAAUGGCAAUGGAUACUGGCGAGCUAGAGUGUGUCAGAGGAUGGUGGAAUUCCCGGUGUAGCGGUGAAAUGCGUAGAGAUCCGGAAGAACACCGGUGGCGAAGGCGGUCUGCUGGGCCAACACUGACGCUGAGGCGCGACAGCGUGGGGAGCAAACAGG
rnacentral:rRNA from 1 species